UACGUAGGGGGCUAGCGUUGUCCGGAAUCAUUGGGCGUAAAGCGCGUGUAGGCGGCUCGGUAAGUCCGCUGUGAAAGUCGGGGGCUCAACCCUCGGAUGCCGGUGGAUACUGUCGGGCUAGAGUACGGGAGAGGCGCGUGGAAUUGCAGGUGUAGCGGUGAAAUGCGUAGAUAUCUGCAGGAACACCCGUGGCGAAAGCGGCGCGCUGGACCACUACUGACGCUGAGGAACGAAAGCUAGGGGAGCAAACAGG
rnacentral:rRNA from 1 species